GCAAAACCUAAAUAAAGAGGGGCAGCUGUCAACACCCAAUUUCGUCCGGGAAAGUAAAUAAUCAAAAUUAAAUAAUAAGAGAAUAAUAAUUAAUGGUGGGUAAAGAAAAAAAGGAAAAAAAAUAAAAUAAAAUAAUCUUCCUUAAUGCAGGACACGUCACUUUAGAAUGUUUUUGAAAUAUUAGUUUAAUAUGGUAAUAAUUUGAAUUAUAUU
rnacentral:lncRNA from 1 species